AAUAGACUUAUUUUUGCUUUGAUUUAGAUCAGCAGGAGCUCUCCCCCUCUCCAGAUCCAUGCACGGCGACGACCAGGACCCCACGCUCAAGCCCCACGAGCUGGACGAGGUCGACAGCGAGGUCAUCUGCCCUGCCCACCAUGAUUUCCCAUAGAACAAGAAGGUGCCUCAUGUGGAUUUUAUGGCUUAAGCCAAGAGGAGAAAGAAAGGGCUCUGCAUAUGAAAAGAUACCAACAUUAUUGUUUCCAUGAAAUUGGUUGGAAGAAAAGAAGAAGAUCCAGAGAAGAUCUUAGUAAUAAGAUAGUUUUUAGGAAAAUAGAUAUUUAGUUUUAGGUCAUUUCUUCUAAUUUCAGAUAUGGAAUGCUUGUCUUUAGUUUUUGUUUUGACUUUGUGAAACUUGCUAACUAUGGAUGAAACUGUGUAAUAUUGAUGAAACUAUGUAUAUGUAUGGAUGAAACUUGCUACUAUUGGUAACAUGUGUUGGAUAUGCUAUAUUGGU